rnacentral:ncRNA from 2 species
CUCUUGACAAAAUGGGCCGAUAUGUUAAACUGAGAGGACAAACAUUCGGGCGACGGGAAGUCGGGUGAAAAUCCCGCGCGGAGCCGCCGCUGUAUGGGUACCAGCACGUUUCAUACGCCACUGUGGCUUCCAUGGGAAGGCGAAACGCUGCCACGACGCCCGAGCCAGAAUACCGGCCGCCUGAAUUAUGCGCAC